rnacentral:rRNA from 1 species
GUGCCAGCCGCCGCGGUAAUACGGGGGGGGCAAGCGUUGUUCGGAAUUACUGGGCGUAAAGGGUUCGUAGGUGGCUUGCUAAGUCAGACGUGAAAUCCCUCAGCUUAACUGGGGAACUGCGUCUGAGACUGGCGAGCUUGAGUGCAGGAGAGGAACGCGGAAUUCCAGGUGUAGCGGUGAAAUGCGUAGAUAUCUGGAGGAACACCGGUGGCGAAGGCGGCGUUCUGGACUGUAACUGACACUGAUGAACGAAAGCCAGGGGAGCAAACGGGAUUAGAUACCCUCGUAGUCC